AUGAGAAACGCAAAGGUUUUGGAUACCAUACUCCCCUGCUCUAAGAUACACUUUUCAUUUUCACAUCUGAAGAUCCCCGUCACCAGGAUUCAUCUCACAACUGAUGGCGCCCUCCCUCAGCUGUCAGCGCGAACUUUCACGGAAGCUAUUAGCAAGAACCAGCAUGAUGGGGGAGAAGCACCGCUGUAUUCGUCACUACAAAACUCCAGAACAAAUUCACUGAAAGCUUUUAUUAGGGGAUUUGACUUUCUCCCAAGGAAGAUCGUUGCCUUCUGUUGCCUUCUGCUCUGUCCCUAGAGCCCAGAUCUCACAGUUUCUAGUCCAGAGUCCAGACAGAGUUGGCAGAGAAAAGUGGUAAGUACAAAGACUACUCACCCUGGUGUUCAGGACAAAAGAGAUGAACGGAAGAGAGGACAGCCAGCCAUGCAGGCCUCAGGGGCUUGUUCCCCAAACAGGGCAAGGGCAGGAAGUCCAGGGGCAAGUGAACUGAACUUCUGGGACUCUUGCCAGCCUUGCCUUGGCACAGCCUGCAUCUGAGAUUCUGUCCAAUCAGAUGAGCCACCCGUCCUCAGAGAGCUAACUAUCAUGGGUAGGUAAAGCUGGCCUGAUAUGACCAACCUCGCAUUAAAGUUUCUUGCAUUCAUCUUUUCUGUCCCCCACCAGACUCGAGUUCCUUGAAAACAAACCACACAUCCCUUCAUCUCUGCACCCCCUCCAGAGCCUUGCAGUCUUCACUGUCAUCACAUUCAAGCACAUGCUGCAUAAAGGAAGGAAGCGGGAAUGGAAUGGACAGGUAGCAUGCUGUGAAUAUAAAGACACUCAGUGGAUUCCUGGCCACUUGGACAGUGGAAGGGGAUUUUCUCAGAGCCACCAAAACCAAUAUUCUAGGCUCACCUAACAUAAUGUAACUGAGAAUUCUUGGUUCUAAUUUGAGGCACCUGAUACAUAAAGGAAGGCGCAUAGGAUGGAGGCCCCAGAGACCGUAUUUAUUACUCAAUGGGGCAGGAAAUUGGGAGAAGGCUCUGGUGUCCAGGAGAAGAGUUCAGGCCAGUGGAUUAAGCCCCAUCAUGAGCCAGGAACUGAGCUAGUCCUGGCUGAAAAUGCAACCACAGCACACACUUCUGCUCUCAAGGGGCUUAGGGUUCGGCGGGGGAGAGACUUACAUAAUACACAUGUGAGACAGUCACAAGUGCGAGAAGCCAUGUCUGCUCAUUUGUGCUUGUCAAGAUAAUUUCACACAGUCCCUGAAUCUGUGAGGCCAUGCAGCUCUUUGGGAAGAUGCUUUGAAGACAAAACAGGAUGGACCACAUGGCUCCCACACCACUUGCCUGAGUCACUAUGCUCCUUAAAAGAUGAAUGACCCUAGCCUUGACUUUUCCUACACAGAAGAUAACGUUUGACAGGGUUAGUGACUAUGCCUCUGUAAUUCAUUACUAAAUGCAUUUUAGUCAUCUAUAACCAGAUAUACUCUGGCACCCAGACUUUGACGUGAUUUUGCACGUACUGAACCUUCACCACCCGUCCAUAAACUGUGAGCUGAAACACCACAUUGGAGCCUCUGAUGGAACUGCUCCCGGGCUGUAGACCUCCAUCUACAGUCUUCGGUAAGGCUUCUGAAUAAAACUAACUUUAAUUCUUUAAAAGUUUGAUUUGUUAUUCUUUAGUUAACACAUAACAACCCAAAGAUUCAUUGCAAAACAUAGGCUGGAAGGGUGAGGACUGGGGCCUUCGCUUUUUUUUUUAACUGAAAUGAUCUGAGGAGACAAUUAUGGUGUUAGUAGCUGAAUGCUUAAGGAUUCUGGGACAUUAAGAAGAGGUGGUGGAAUUCUAAUUGGAGUGAGAAGCAAUAUAAAUAACAGAAUGUGAAUGUCACAUUAGGAGAAGACAGAAGGAGAAGGAAAAAUAAUAGCAGUCUCCUCUAGUACAGAGUAAAGGAUCAGAAAGAGUGUAAAGAAGGGUAAUCUGAG
rnacentral:lncRNA from 1 species